CCGCCUGCAUGCCAGGCAAGCACACUACCGCUUGAGCCACAUUCCCAGCCUGGCCUAAGGUAAUUUUGAACAAUACUUUUCAUCCACCUGUAUUGAUUGUGACCUGCUGAUGAGUACAGGUAUAGAAUUUUCCACUUGUGGAGUCAUCAGCCUUCAGAAAAUGUCACAUUUUGGAGAUGUUUUAGAUUUUGGGAUUAGGAGACUUUAGCUUAUCCUUAUAAAUUCAUCCUGUUGCUAUUUCUGUACUGGAAUCCAAGCUCUGAAGUAGCAAGAAUUUUGUUUUCAUCUUCCUAUCCCCUAGGACAGUACCUGUAUAUUGAAUGGUGAAAUGAAGACAUUCUGAUCAAUAUAUUGUGAAAUUGGUUAUGGCUUACAGUUGUACUCAAGGACGUCCUGUUGCCCGGUGAAAGAAGACUGAAGUCCCAUGGAAGAAGGUGCCUUUUCCUUUACCCAAGGCACUGACCAGCAGCAAACCCAUUUCACCUGCCUUUUUCUAAGUUGCACAAAAGCACUCUAUAUAGUCACUCCAUACUUCCUAUCUUGAUUUUUUUUUAACUGAUAAAACUUUGGCCAUAUUUCUUGCUGAGUCCGGUUUUGCUUUGCUUAAUGUACAUUUGUCCCUCACUGGGUUGGGUAAUAUAAAACUUGUUUGCAUUAAUACCAGACCUAUGUCUUUAAUUCCCAGAUUUCUCUCCAGAAUUGAAGAGGGAUUAGAAAGAAGUAUUUCAGUUCAUAUGUUCAUUAAGGAACCAGGUUGUUCUAAAUAAAAAGUUUUGUGGGGGAAUGUUGGGAUUGAACCUAGGGCCUUAUGUAUUCCAGGCAAGCACUCUACCAGUGAGCUACACCCCCAGCCCACGAGGUUAAUAGUUAGAUAUAAAGCACCAGGGAGACCCUUAUCUGGUCCCUUAAUUGGUCAUUCCUGUGGUUCUAAGUUUGCUAAUUACCUUUCUCCGGUCCUUUUCCCCUCCCCAUUCCUUCUUAAUGAAAACAUGAAUAUUUAAAAUUAGCCAGCAGAAUUCAGUUUAGAUGAUCCCAAAUUUGUCGGCAACAUUUAGAGCAUCAUAAGCAGGAGUCAGCUGAUCGUAUGCCUUCUCUUCAUCAGACCCUCUUGGGGUUUUGAUCUUGGCCAUAUCAAUGUCAUAUUUGAUUCUUCAGUCUGUUAAUCUGGUGUUUGUUGGCCUUGACAUUUAUGAUAAACACCGGUUGUCUUCCAUCUUCUCGCAGGCUCAGUGGUCAGAAGGCACUGGAUGGCACAGUGGUCAAGCUUGUUUCUCUUGGGGGUCACUCUACCAAGCAUACUUGGGCUGUCUCGAGUCGCAGGCGGCAGUGACGGGUCUCUCUGCCCGUGGGUGCCUGGCAGCACUGCCUUUUUAGUCUUUAGUGCCUUUGCUUUGGCCUCACCUUUGGGAAGGGCAAGAGUUUCCUUCUUUACUUUUGGCCCCAUCUUGGUGGAAAGGCCCCAAGUUAGAGCCUUCAAAUCCUCUCCCUUGUCCCACAGUGGGUCCUUAUGUCAGUUCCUCAACUUUAAAGUAGGUAGAACUCAACCAGGAAACUCACUAAAAUGCAGAUCCUGAUUAAGUUUGGAAUGGGCCCCAACUUGAGGCCAACACUGCUGGUCUGGGGACCACCAGUCCCCUAGGGUAGUGGCAGAAAAGGAUCUGGGGACUCCCUAAAGACCCUUCUUACUGGAGGAAAAGGUUACUUCCACUGCUUCUCCGAUAGAUUAUGUGCCCAUGUGGGGAUGAUCUAGAACACUGUACCUAGCAGUCACCAAAUUUUGGUUUUCCAGGAAAUAAGUCUUUACUGCCAUGAUUCUUGAGUUUUCUGGCUUCACAAGAGAGAAAGGUACAGAGGGGAAGGGGAAGAAAGUUCUGUUCAUUAGAGUGCUUAGGGAGGAUUUCCAAAAACUAUGAGAACACCAGGCACUUCCUCUGAGGCAGAAUGACUUUUAAAUAAUCUCAGCUGACAAACUUGUGUAUCUGGAAGCCCUUUACAGAGCUUUGAUACCUGGCAACGUGUGCAUCAUCUCAAAAUGGGAUAUUAGAAUGCUCACUGGCUCAGUGAGUUAUUAUGCUGUCAACAGAAGAAUCAAAUAAAGGCACAACUUCAAAGGAACAAGACUCUAUUGGGACAUCUUGCUUGAGCAGAAGGAAGAUAUACCAUUGUCCAGCUGGCUCAAAGGACAAAGGUGAUUGGCUUUAGUUUUUUUUUUUUCACUCCAUUUGCUAUUAUUUUUGUUAUUUAUUUUUAUGUGGUGCUGAGGAUCAAACCUGUGCCUCACUUGUGCUAGGUGAGCACUCUACCAGUGGGCCAGAACCCCAGCCCAGUGACUGGCUUUUAAGGCAUUUUCAGGUUAGGCAGGGACUUGGUUUAUUGUUCUUUCAAAAAAAAAAAAAAAGUCUUAAAUUAUAGAUGGACACAAUACCUUUAUUUUUUAUGUCUUGAUUGAACCUAGUACCUCAAAUGCUAGGCAAGUGCUCUACCACUGAGCCACAACCAUAGUCUCUUUCUUGAUGUCUCUUAAUCCUAAAGACCCUGUUUCAGGUACCUGGGAUUGAACUCGGGGGCACUCAGCCAUUGAGCCACAUCCCCAGCCCUAUUUUGUAUGGUAUUUAGAGACAGGGUCUCAUCGAGUUGCUAGGCACCUUGCUUGUGCUGAGGUUGGCUUUGAAUUUGCAACCCUCCUGCCUCAGCCUCCCAAGUCGCUUGGAUUAUAGGUGUGUGCCACUGUGCCUGGCAAGACCCUAUUUUUUAUGUGGAUUCCUGGUUGUAUCCAAACUAGUUUUCAUAAAUAUUUGAAGAGUUAAUGUGUUAAACUGCUUUUAUUUUUCUUACCAAGUGGAAGUGUCAUAUGAACAAACACAUAUUACUUUGGGAAGGGGGCAUAAAGAAAUACAAAACAAACUUCUAUAUUUUUAUGACCUUUAUUAAGUACCUAAUAGGACCUAACUUAGGUUUUAAGAAAACAAACAUCAGGACCUACAAAGAAGUUGUAUUUUUUUUUCACAUUACUUCUUCAUUUUUUGGCCAUGAUGGCAAAGGAACCUGGGGUCUCAUGUGCCUUAGCAAUUUAGCAAGGCCUAAGCAGCAUAGCAAGACACUGUCUCAAAUUUACUAAAAUGACUGGGAACACAGCUCAGUGAUAAAGUACCCUGGGUUCAAUCCCCAGUACCAAAAAAAAAAAAGAGAAAAAUUUCCAGUGUGAAAUUGUAAUGGCAGCUGCUUCUAUUUAUUAGUCCCUCUGCAUUAAUUCCUAUGUACACAAUUUAGAAAAAAUAAAUUAUUUCUGUCAUCA